rnacentral:rRNA from 1 species
GGUGAACGCUGGCGGCGUGCCUAAUACAUGCAAGUCGAGCGAACGGACGAGAAGCUUGCUUCUCUGAUGUUAGCGGCGGACGGGUGAGUAACACGUGGAUAACCUACCUAUAAGACUGGGAUAACUUCGGGAAACCGUAGCUAAUACCGGAUAAUAUUUUGAACCGCAUGGUUCAAUAGUGAAAGACGGUCUUGCUGUCACUUAUAGAUGGAUCCGCGCUGCAUUAGCUAGUUGGUAAGGUAACGGCUUACCAAGGCAACGAUGCAUAGCCGACCUGAGAGGGUGAUCGGCCACACUGGAACUGAGACACGGUCCAGACUCCUACGGGAGGCAGCAGUAGGGAAUCUUCCGCAAUGGGCGAAAGCCUGACGGAGCAACGCCGCGUGAGUGAUGAAGGUCUUCGGAUCGUAAAACUCUGUUAUUAGGGAAGAACAUAUGUGUAAGUAACUGUGCACAUCUUGACGGUACCUAAUCAGAAAGCCACGGCUAACUACGUG